UGGAGGCAGCAGUAGGGAAUAUUCGUCAAUGGGGGAAACCCUGAACGAGCAAUGCCGCGUGAGUGAUGAAGGUCUUAUGGAUUGUAAAACUCUGUUAUUUGGGAAGAACGCCUAAAGUAGGAAAUGACUUUAGAGUGACGGUACCAGAUCAGAAAGCCCCGGCCAACUACGUGCCAGCAGCCGCGGUAAUACGUAGGGGGCGAGCGUUAUCCGGAUUCAUUGGGCGUAAAGCGUGUGUAGGCGGUUUAUUAAGUCUAUGGUUAAAUGCUAAAGCUUAACUUUAGUAGGCCAUGGAAACUGGUAGGCUUGAGUAGAGUAGAGGCAAGUGGAAUUCCUAGUGUAGCGGUGGAAUGCGUAGAUAUUAGGAGGAACACCAGUGGCGAAGGCGGCUUGCUGGGCUCUUACUGACGCUGAGACACGAAAGCGUGGGGAGCAAAUAGGAUUAGAUACCCGGGUAGUCCC
rnacentral:rRNA from 1 species